UAAUUUUGGUUAAUUAGUUGAUUUUGCUUAAUUAGCUUAGUUAGAUUAGUUGAUUAUAGGUGGUUAGGUUAGGAUGAUUUUCUUUAGAUUGUUAGGUUUCUAUUGUUGCUGAAAGUGUUUGGAGCUAGUUUGCUGUUUAUGAUGGAAUUGUUGUUUUGAUGAGAAACUGGGCUGAGAUGGUCUGAAGUCUGAACAUUGUUUGCUUGUGUGGAAAUUUACUACUUUAUUGCAAAAUUGCUGAAAUUGUUGCUGAAACUAUUGAGAUUGUUUAAUCCUAUUAAUCCACUAUGUCGUAUCUAAUUUUGCUGCCAUAUGCUUACCGAAUCAAUUGGAUUGCGCGUAAGAAUUGCUGUUUUGCAUUAUUUUCAUCAUGCUAUCAUGCUAUUAUUGAGUUUGAAUUGCAAUUUGUUUGGAUUGCUGAGAUAUUGUUGAGAUAUUGCUGCUGGGAUUCUUGAUUUUAAAUUGCAUUUUGAUUAAUUGAACUCCUCCACUUUGUUGUUGUUGUUGCUGCCAAGUUCUCCUCCAUCUAAGAAUCUCACCAAUAAUUGAACUUCCACUCAUCACCACACUAAACCCAGCAAAUGUUGCAAGAAUUAUUGACAGAAUUGCUCUCUUGGUAACCUGAAAUUGACCAUUCUAAUCCACUAAAGUCAGUUUUCUACUACUACAAACUCUCAGAUUUUUUUCAUCUGAUUUUUUAUCAGAUUCUAUUCCCAUUCUCUUUUAUAUCUUUUAUACCUUAUAAAAAAAUGGGAAGCAUUAAGGGGUGUUUCAAUUUCUAAUUUUCUAUGUAACCUUUAUCAUGUUCUCUUAGCAUAUUGAAUGGGGUUUAGCUGAGUUUCAAUCCAUUUUAGUUUCUGGGUACUCAACAUGCUAUUGUAAAGAUUGUAGUAUGUUUCUUUGGCUGUUGUUAAGCGGGUGCAAGAGAUUGCUUGUUCAGCUUUUGCAACACUUGAAGAGGUUCUGAUUACAAUAUCUGUUUGUUUUCGCUUAAUGAAUCAUAUUCAGUUAUCCAAUUUACUUAAUUUUAUGUAUGGCCCACAUUUGGUUUACUUCAAACAGGAGGCUGCAGAAGAGUUGGCACCACGAUUAGAAAUUAUAUUGAAGCACCUGAUGCUAGCGUUUGAGAAAUAUUAGCCGCAGCUGUCUCCGACUCCAAGCUUCCAUUUCCAUUUCCAUCAACACUUGACACUCCACCGGCGACGACGACAGCUUGUCGGCGCCGACUCGACAGAGGCUUCAUUUAGUAAUCAGUAGUAUUUGCAGUUCAGAUAAGGUCGUGGUUUAAUGGAGCCUGCAAACGUAGUGUUCGACAAAUUGAAAGCCGUCGCUAAAUCCGGAAACGAAUUCUUUCAUGGACUCUUCGAUCCUCGUCGCAAUCCGAUUCAAAUCCUCAAACGUUUAAACCGAGAAGCAUUCUCUGACAUUAUGAAACUCAGAGAUAGACAAGAGAAGGUUGAGAGAUUGCUUUCCUUCUAUAAAUCAUCCAAGGGAGGUCCCUUCCAGGAAUCUACCACUCAUGUAAGAGGAAGGGUCGAUAUGCAGGAUGCUUUAUUGAUUAUGAAUAGCCUUGAUCAACAGAGCUUAGAUGCCAUUACUACGUCCAGAAUAAGAACCGGCAUUGGAUCAAAGUUUAUUUUUGAAACCAACAUUGGGCAGGAUACUCUUGCUGCAGAGUUUGUGACAAGUCAAAACGGGAAGGAGUGCCCCAAUGAUAUCCUUGAAAUGCCACUUUCUCUAGCAAAACUCAGUUAUACUAAAAAUGUUAAUGAUUGGUUAUCUCUGAUGGCUAUCCCAAUAGGAGCUAAAUGUAGAGAUGUUGGAAUUGCUUCAAAUUCUUCUGAUGAGGGCCUUACAGACUUCUCCUCUUUUGGACCUCCCAUUCUAAAUUUGCACAAUGGUAGUGGUAUUGGCAUAACUGUGAGGAAGUCAAAUAUAACAGCUUCAUUGGCUCAAUUUGUUGCUGGACUUGGAAUGCCAACUGGGACUAAUACAAUGGAGAGUAUAUCCAGCACUUUUGGGAAAAUUGUAUCUGAAUUUUCUUGGGGGAAGCUGUCUCUUCUGGGUCUUCAACGAGUGCCUUUACAAUUUGCGCAAUUUAGAAAAGUUGGAGCUCAUAUGAUUCCAAUAGUCUUGUCCAGGCAACAUAAAGUAUCCGAGACAGUACCUGAAGUAUCACCAUGGGUGGGAGCAAGGACACAGGUCUCAACUGGUUCCAUUGCUCUGUUGGCGGAGUCUGAACUUGCCGACUUUGUAAAAUUUGGAGGCUGGAUCGAGAUGAAAGAUCCAAAUUUCAAUUCUGUUCAAUGGGCUCUAACCAUGUCUGAUGUUUCUGAAGAUCCAGUUGGCUGGGGCAUUAGUCUCAGCGGGAUGAUUGGAGAUUCAACCAGUGAUCAUUUUCAGGUUGAAUCCUAUCUAAAAUUUAACAUGGGUAAUAAACUUUGCUUGAAGCCUGGCCUUGCAUGUGUGAUGCAUGGGGAUUCCAUGGUAGCUGCUUUAAUGCUUCGUUCUGAAUGGUCCCUGUGAUGAUUGUCCUCUGCCUAUUGCUAUCUAUAUACCAUGCAGUUUUUUCAGGUUCUUGCUACACUUCCAUCGAGAUGUAUAGUUAAGCAGAACAAGGAAUGAAAAAUAACUUUUGCUGUUGAGAUGAGAAAACACUCAUGCCUGGAAGAUUAAAUUGUUGUAAAUAGGAAUUCUACAGAAGAUUCCACUGAUUUCAGGUGAUUUCAGCAAUCUCUUAUGCAGAACAGUAUUUAUCUUUUCUUUAUAUAUUGUGUAAGGAAUUCUUGCAAAGAGAAUCCCAGUUGGUUACAGAUUUGGGAAUGAUAAUGAAGCAUAACUAUGAUUUCUUGCGAGCAUGGUAGAGUCAGGGGUAAUGAUUGAUAUUGCCAUCUUUAAAUUUUACCUAACAGAAACCAGAUAACUGUUAUUUCAAGAGAUUCUUCAGGGAACAAAUUUCAAUCCUGUGUGGCUACAUAUUACCUUGACAAUCAAUACUAUGAUUGAGUAACCUCAACCGGUCAACCCUACUACUCCCUAGCUUCAAGCCCAAAUGAACUUUAGGGUUUCAAAUCGUCAGUAUAAUUGUUGGCUGUCGGUGAUGACAAUCAAUUGUCUGAGCUCUACUCUGAUGGUAAUAGCUUUGACCUUUCCAAAGGACUUGUCAGAAGGAAACUUGACUAAAGAAGAAGAUUCCUUGAUGCAUUCACAAGCCAACAACAGCAAUAACACAAUUUGUAUAUAUAAUUGUUUUAUUUUUAUUAUUAAGGUCUUGGGGCCUUGGGGGUGGUUUUUUUAGCAAAAUAAUUUUCACAUAUUAUCACAUUUUGUUUCAUAAUAUAUCAUCAAUGAAUUUCUUUCAAAUUUGUUAGGCGCCUGCUUUGCUAUAUAUAAUUAUAUAUUGAUUGGUCUUUUUGCUUUAACCAAUCAUUUGCACGGAGUUAGAUGGUCCUUGGCCAGCAAUAAUAAAAUUAUCUGAUUUUUUUUCUUUUUA